UUAAUAGGUUAGUGCAAAAGUAAUUGCAGUUUUUGCCAUUUACUUCUUUAUGGCAAAAACAACAAUUACUUUGCAACAACCUAAUA
ensembl:miRNA